AGAUAUAGUCCAUUUGAUAGUUCAGCAACUCCAACCGUCUUCCUCGAUCUCACUUCCUACAAGUGGCAACCAGAAGGGAAGAAUCUAGCCUCAGAAUUCAAAUCCGAGGUCAACUGCCGGACAAAAAUAAGAUUGCAGUUUAAUUGAGGGACAUAUAGUACUGUAGAGAUGAUAAAGUUGCCAGGCAGCUGAAUAUAACCUAUGCCUGUAACUGGGGCAAUUCCCCC
rnacentral:lncRNA from 1 species